rnacentral:rRNA from 1 species
AAAUAAUUUAAGACAAGUCGUAACAAAGUAAACUUACUGGAAAGUGAGUCUAGAAA